GACGAACGCUGGCGGCGUGCUUAACACAUGCAAGUCGAACGAUGAAGCCGGAGCUUGCUCUGGUGAAUUAGUGGCGAACGGGUGAGUAACACGUGAGUAACCUGCCCUUGACUCUGGGAUAACUGCUAGAAAUGGUAGCUAAUACCGGAUACGACCCUCGGCGGCAUCGCCAGGGGGUGGAAAGAAUUUCGGUCAAGGAUGGACUCGCGGCCUAUCAGCUAGUUGGUGAGGUAACGGCUCACCAAGACGACGACGGGUAGCCGGCCUGAGAGGGUGACCGGCCACACUGGGACUGAGACACGGCCCAGACUCCUACGGGAGGCAGCAGUGGGGAAUAUUGCACAGUGGGCGCAAGCCUGAUGCAGCAACGCCGCGUGAGGGAUGACGGCCUUCGGGUUGUAAACCUCUUUUAGUAGGGAAGAAGCGAAAGUGACGGUACCUGCAGAAAAAGCACCGGCUAACUACGUGCCAGCCGCCGCGGUAA
rnacentral:rRNA from 1 species